rnacentral:rRNA from 1 species
UACGAAGGGGGCGAGCGUUGUUCGGAAUUACUGGGCGUAAAGGGCGCGUAGGCGGCCGAGCAAGUUAGAUGUGAAAGUCCUGGGCUUAACCUGGGGACUGCAUUUGAUACUGCUUGGCUUGAAUUCGGGAGAGGAUAGCGGAAUUCCCAGUGUAGAGGUGAAAUUCGUAGAUAUUCGGAAGAACACCAGUGGCGAAGGCGGCUCACUGGACUGGUAUUGACGCUGAGGUGCGAAAGCGUGGGGAGCAAACAGG